rnacentral:lncRNA from 1 species
AUGCCGAACAAAGGCAAACACAACCGUCCGAAGAAGUCGAGAGGGCAGGCGGAGAAGAAGGCCCAGGCGGCGCCGGCGGGGUCAGCCAGAGAUGGAGCAGCUGCUGCAGCACAGNNNCAGUCCAAACCGGCAUCGGCCACCCCCGUAGCCCAGACUGCCAGCAUGAAGCCUGCAGAUCCCAAGAAAGCACCGCCGUCGCCCGCCAAAUCGGCCGCACCCGCCGCCGCGGCCAGCAAGGGCAAGCCGGAGGGCAAGCCGAAAGAGGCACCGCAGCAGGUCCCCAAGGAGCCGCCCAAGGCGAAGAAGCACGCGGCUGACCCCUUCGACGCGCUGGCGGGAACCCUCCCCCCUGCGGAGCCCCCAGCCCCUAAAGCCCCCAAGUUCACGGGCCCCGAGGUGCAGGAGGUAGGUGUCUGGGGCACGGGCGUGGUGCUCCGGCGUUUCGGAAUUCCCUCCUGCUGCUCGGUGGCCUGGGCUUGUCUCGUACUGUCCAGCAAGCUGUGUGUUUCUGUCUGGCCAUGUUCAACCAAUCAGUCAAUCAGUUAGAUUAACCAAAUGUUAUCUGUAAGAGCUUCAUCCUACAGAGGGACGUGCCAGCAGACUCCCUGGACACGACUCCAGAAUUAAAUAGACUGGAUCAAGGGCUUCCUGAUCUCUCUGAUUUACACAAGGCUAAAAACAAUGGAGCUUGCAAAUUCCACCUGCAGUCUGCCUUUCCUAAUUCAUGAUGUAGUAGUUUCACUAUAUUCUGGAGUAUACUGUACU